GGAGACGGUCCUUUCAGUUCGGCUGGAUACCACACAGGUGUUGCAUGGCUGUCGUCAGCUCGUGUCGUGAGAUGUUCGGUUAAGUCCGGCAACGAGCGCAACCCACACUCUUAGUUGCCAUCAUUCAGUUGGGCACUCUAGGAGAACUGCCGGUGAUAAGCCGGAGGAAGGUGUGGAUGACGUCAAGUCCUCAUGGCCCUUACGGGUUGGGCUACACACGUGCUACAAUGGUGGUGACAAUGGGUUAAUCCCAAAAAGCCAUCUCAGUUCGGAUUGGGGUCUGCAACUCGACCCCAUGAAGUCGGAAUCGCUAGUAAUCGCGUAACAGCAUGACGCGGUGAAUACGUUCCCGGGCCUUGUACACACCGCCCGUCACACCAUGGGAAUUGGGUCUACCCGACGACGGUGCGCCAACCUCGCAAGAGGAAGCAGCCGGCCACGGUAGGCUCAGUGACUGGGGUGAAGUCGUAACAAGGUAACCGUA
rnacentral:rRNA from 1 species